rnacentral:rRNA from 1 species
CAUUUCUUAUAGAAUUUUUAUAAGUAACACCUGCUCCAUGAAUUUUAAAUAGCCGCAGAAAUUUUACUGUGCUAAGGUAGCAUAAUCAUUAGCCUCUUAAUUGGAGGCUUGUAUGAAAGGUGAAACAAUUUAAUUUCUUUUAUAUUAUUUUUCUUUUAAUUUAUAUUAAAAAUUAAAAUAUUUUUAUAAAUAAAGAAGACGACAAGACCCUAUUGAACUUUACUUUAGUUUAGCUGGGGCAGCUACUUAAUUAUUAUUUUAAUUUUAAAUUUCCAAUAAAUGACCUUUUACAAUUGAUUAUUUGAUUAAGUUACCAUAGGGAUAACAGCGUAAUUUUAUUCUAGAGAUCUUAUCUAAAUUAAAGAUUGCGACCUCGAUGUUGAAUUAAUGUUGCUCAUGGGCGCAAUAGCUCAAAAAGUUGGUCUGUUCGACCAUUCAUACAUUAC